AAUACCCUAUUAUUUUAAAAGUAAUUAAUAAAAUCUAAUUAGUAAUAGUUAAGUUCUUGAAAAUUAAGGAAUUUGGCGGUAUUUUAGUCUAUUCAGAGGAAUCUGUCCUAUAAUUGAUAAUCCACGAUUUUUUAUACCUAAUUUAUUAAUUUACAUAUCGCCGUAGGUUGAAUAUUUUUUGAAAAUUAUAAUAUUCAUAAUUUAUUUUGAUGAAAAAAUUCAGGUCAAGGUGUAGUUUAUGGUUAGGGAGAGAUGGGUUACAAUAAAAGUAUUUAUUAUGGAUUAAUUAAUUAAAUUUUUUUAUGAAGGUGGAUUUGAAAGUAAUUUUAUUUA
rnacentral:rRNA from 1 species